rnacentral:rRNA from 1 species
CGACGGCAGCACGGGAGCAAUCCUGGUGGCGAGUGGCGAACGGGUGAGUAAUGUAUCGGAACGUACCUUUCAGUGGGGGAUAACGUAGCGAAAGUUACGCUAAUACCGCAUAUUCUGUGAGCAGGAAAGCAGGGGAUCGCAAGACCUUGCGCUGAUUGAGCGGCCGAUAUCAGAUUAGCUAGUUGGUGAGGUAAAGGCUCACCAAGGCGACGAUCUGUAGCGGGUCUGAGAGGAUGAUCCGCCACACUGGAACUGAGACACGGUCCAGACUCCUACGGGAGGCAGCAGUGGGGAAUUUUGGACAAUGGGCGCAAGCCUGAUCCAGCAAUGCCGCGUGCAGGACGAAGGCCUUCGGGUUGUAAACUGCUUUUGUACGGAACGAAAAAGUCUGCCCUAAUACGGUGGGCUCAUGACGGUACCGUAAGAAUAAGCACCGGCUAACUACGUGCCAGCAGCCACGGUAAUACGUAGGGUGCAAGCGUUAAUCGGAAUUACUGGGCGUAAAGCGUGCGCAGGCGGUUUUGUAAGACAGAUGUGAAAUCCCCGGGCUCAACCUGGGACCUGCAUUUGUGACUGCAAAGCUAGAGUACGGCAGAGGGGGAUGGAAUUCCGCGUGUAGCAGUGAAAUGCGUAGAUAUGCGGAGGAACACCGAUGGCGAAGGCAAUCCCCUGGGCCUGUACUGACGCUCAUGCACGAAAGCGUGGGGAGCAAACAGGAUUAG